CUAUACUACUACUACCACGGACAUUCUACACCCCAAACCCUAAAUUGCAAGCUCUAUUACUCUCUCUCUGAUCACCGAUGGUGAACCACAUGGGUGGAAGAAGACAGUACAAAUAUCUCUCCAUGUGUUUCGGUCGAUUGCUUUCUUUCUAAUCUUAUUUUUCAAUCAAACUCUUAAAACCACGUAGAGAGAGAGAGAUUGGAUGUAUAACCACAGAGAAAAAUCAAUACUAUAAGUUAAAGUUUUCGUUUUAUAAGGAAACAAUCUCGAUUCACCAGCUCCUACAGUGGCGGACCUAGAAAGUUUUUUCACUGGGGUCAAAGCAGUAACAUAGCUUAGGCCGAAAUUUUUGGACUGCUAUAAAUUCCACCAACGAUCCAGGGUGAACUUUUAUCCAGCAAGGUUGUGGUGGAAGCAAGUAAGCAACUGUUUGGAAGGUUGUCAAGACCGGUAUUAUUCCUGCUCUUCCGAAUGCUUAUGGUCUCUUAAUAUCUGUUAUAACUCAACAACACAAUGGGUCUCUUUGUUUAAUACAUGUAGAUUGGUGAACAAUCCCUAUAUCAAUUAAAUGCAGCAAAGUUGGUAACAGAUCCUAAUAUACUUCAUAUCUUCGUGAAAAAUAAAAUUGUUUUUCCUUUUUAUCAUUGUAGUAUUUUAAUUUUAUUGUCUCUUUUUCUCCAAUUUUAUUGCCUCAGUUUAGCUGUAUAAUAUCUUUUUGUUGGUAUGGAUUGUGCAAAUAAGUUUUUGCAUUAAUCAAAUCUCACGAAGAGCUAUUGAUCUAUUUUUUCCCGUUCCCUUUUAUCACUACGAGCAUCGUCA